CACUUUUUGGAUUUUCUCUUCUCUUCAACAUUUUAUUCGUUGGCGCAUUGACUUAUUUGAGUUCUUUUGGUGAGUCAAAAGCAACUGUCAUAGAGGAUAAUGGAGACAAGAAGAAUAAGCAAGCCUCUGAGGAACAUGGAGUAGAAGGUAUUAACUUGGCAAUGAGAAGUUCAUCAGA